rnacentral:rRNA from 1 species
GACGAACGCUGGCGGCGUGCUUAACACAUGCAAGUCGAACGGUGAAGUAGAGCUUGCUCUAUGGAUCAGUGGCGAACGGGUGAGUAACACGUGGGCAACCUGCCCCAGACUCUGGGAUAACUCUUCGAAAGAGGGGCUAAUACCGGAUAUUCGACGGAGUAGUCAUCUACUUCGCCGGAAAGAAUUUCGGUCUGGGAUGAGCUCGCGGCCUAUCAGCUUGUUGGUGAGGUAAAAGCUCACCAAGGCGACGACGGGUAGCCGGCCUGAGAGGGUGACCGGCCACACUGGUACUGAGACACGGACCAGACUCCUACGGGAGGCAGCAGUAGGGAAUAUUGGACAAUGGGCGCAAGCCUGAUCCAGCCAUGCCGCGUGCAGGAUGACGGUCCUAUGGAUUGUAAACUGCUUUUGUACAGGAAGAAACACUCCCUCGUGAGGGAGCUUGACGGUACUGUAAGAAUAAGGAUCGGCUAACUCCGUGCCAGCAG